GGGAUCUGGUGUAUGGUGCACACCUGCCUUUCCUGAGUUGAUUCGUUUCAAAAGUUGGAAGCAGGAAGACGGGGUUCGAUUCCCCGAGGUCCCA